CCUACGGGAGGCAGCAGUAGGGAAUCUUGCGCAAUGGGCGAAAGCCUGACGCAGCAACGCCGCGUGAGGGAUGAAGGCUCUCGGGUUGUAAACCUCUUUCAGCAGGGACGAUUGUGACGGUACCUGCAGAAGAAGGACCGGCCAACUACGUGCCAGCAGCCGCGGUAAUACGUAGGGUCCGAGCGUUGUCCGGAUUUAUUGGGCGUAAAGAGCUCGUAGGCGGCUCAGUAAGUCAGAUGUGAAAACUCAGGGCUCAACCCGGAGACGCCAUCUGAUACUGCUGUGGCUUGAGUCUGGUAGGGGAUCACGGAAUUCCUGGUGUAGCGGUGAAAUGCGCAGAUAUCAGGAGGAACACCGAUGGCGAAGGCAGUGAUCUGGGCCAGUACUGACGCUGAGGAGCGAAAGCGUGGGUAGCAAACAGGAUUAGAUACCCUGGUAGUCCACGCCGUAAACGUUGGGCACUAGGUGUGGGACCCCGUCAACGGGUUCCGUGCCGUAGCUAACGCAUUAAGUGCCCCGCCUGGGGAGUACGGCCGCAAGGCUAAAACUCAAAGGAAUUGACGGGGGCCCGCACAAGCGGCGGAGCAUGUUGCUUAAUUCGAGGCGACGCGAAGAACCUUACCUAGGCUUGACAUGCAGGGAAAAGCCGUAGAGAUACGGUGUCCGUAAGGGCCCUGCACAGGUGGUGCAUGGCUGUCGUCAGCUCGUGCCGUGAGAUGUUGGGUUAAGUCCCGCAACGAGCGCAACCCUUGUCCUAUGUUGCCAGCGCGUAAUGGCGGGGACUCGUAGAGACUGCCGGGGUCAAUUCGGAGGAAGGUGGGGACGACGUCAAGUCAUCAUGCCCCUUAUGUCUAGGGCUGCAAACAUGCUACAAUGGCGAGUACAAAGGGUCGCGAUCCCGCGAGGUGAGCUAAUCCCAUAAGCUCGUCUCAGUCCGGAUUGGAG
rnacentral:rRNA from 1 species